CCUCCGGGAGGCAGCAGUGGGGAAUUUUGGACAAUGGGCGCAAGCCUGAUCCAGCCAUGCCGCGUGUGGGAAGAAGGCCUUCGGGUUGUAAACCACUUUUGUCAGGGAAGAAACGGUCUGAACUAAUACUUUGGACUAAUGACGGUACCUGAAGAAUAAGCACCGGCUAACUACGUGCCAGCAGCCGCGGUAAUACGUAGGGUGCAAGCGUUAAUCGGAAUUACUGGGCGUAAAGCGUGCGCAGGCGGCUUUGCAAGACAGAUGUGAAAUCCCCGGGCUCAACCUGGGAACUGCAUUUGUGACUGCAUGGCUAGAGUACGGUAGAGGGGGAUGGAAUUCCGCGUGUAGCAGUGAAAUGCGUAGAUAUGCGGAGGAACACCGAUGGCGAAGGCAAUCCCCUGGACCUGUACUGACGCUCAUGCACGAAAGCGUGGGGAGCAAACAGGAUUAGAUACCCUGGUAGUCCACGCCCUAAACGAUGUCAACUGGUUGUUGGGAGGGUUUCUUCUCAGUAACGAAGCUAACGCGUGAAGUUGACCGCCUGGGGAGUACGGCCGCAAGGUUGAAACUUAAGGAAUUGACGG
rnacentral:rRNA from 1 species